UGAGGAAUAUUGGACAAUGGGCGCAAGCCUGAUCCAGCCAUGCCGCGUGCAGGAAGAAGCAUCUAUGGCGUGUAAACUGCUUUUGUACGGGAAGAAACACUCCUUCGUGAAGGAGCUUGACGGUACCGUAAGAAUAAGGAUCGGCUAACUCCGUGCCAGCAGCCGCGGUUAUACGGAGGAUCCAAGCGUUAUCCGGAAUUAUUGGGUUUAAAGGGUCCGUAGGCGGUUUAGUAAGUCAGUGGUGAAAGCCCAUCGCUCAACGAUGGAACGGCCAUUGAUACUGCUAGACUUGGAUUAGUAGGAAGUAACUAGAAUAUGUAGUGUAGCGGUGAAAUGCUUAGAUAUUACAUGGAAUACCAAUUGCGAAGGCAGGUUACUACUAAUGGAUUGACGCUGAUGGACGAAGGCAUGGGGAGCAAACA
rnacentral:rRNA from 1 species